GCGGGCGUGGCGGAAUUGGCAGACGCGCUGGAUUUAGGAUCCAGUGGGCAACCCCCGUGAAGGUUCAAGUCCUUUCGUCCGCACCA
rnacentral:tRNA from 1 species